AUACGGAGGAUGCGAGCGUUAUCCGGAUUUAUUAGGUUUAAAGGGUGUGUAGGCGGUAUUUUAAGUCAGUGGUGAAAUCUCGGAGCUUAACUUCGAAACUGCCAUUGAUACUGGAAUACUUGAGUAUAGUUGAGGUAGGCGGAAUAUGUAAUGUAGCGGUGAAAUGCAUAGAUAUUACAUAGAACACCGAUUGCGAAGGCAGCUUACUAAACUAUUACUGACGCUGAUGCACGAAAGCGUGGGGAGCGAGCAGGAUUAGAUACCCUAGUAGUCC
rnacentral:rRNA from 1 species